rnacentral:rRNA from 1 species
UACGUAGGUGGCAAGCGUUGUCCGGAAUUAUUGGGCGUAAAGCGCGCGCAGGCGGUCCUUUAAGUCUGAUGUGAAAGCCCACGGCUCAACCGUGGAGGGUCAUUGGAAACUGGGGGACUUGAGUACAGAAGAGAAGAGUGGAAUUCCACGCGUAGCGGUGAAAUGCGUAGGGAUGUGGAGGAACACCAGUGGCGAAGGCGACUCUUUGGUCUGUAACUGACGCUGAGGCGCGAAAGCGUGGGGAGCAAACAGG